GACGAACCGUGCGAACGUUGUUCGGAAUCACUGGGCUUAAAGGGCGCGUAGGCGGCCCGCCCGGUCGGGGGUGAAAGCGUUCGGCUUAACCGGACAAGUGCCUCCGAUACCGGCGGGCUCGAGCGAGGUAGGGGCGGACGGAACUUCCGGUGGAGCGGUGAAAUGUGUUGAUAUCGGAAGGAACGCCGGUGGCGAAAGCGGUCCGCUGGACCUCUCCUGACGCUGAGGCGCGAAAGCCAGGGGAGCAAACGGG
rnacentral:rRNA from 1 species